rnacentral:rRNA from 1 species
GAUGAACGCUGGCGGCGUGCCUAAUACAUGCAAGUCGAGCGAACAGACGAGGAGCUUGCUCCUUUGACGUUAGCGGCGGACGGGUGAGUAACACGUAGGUAACCUACCUAUAAGACUGGGAUAACUUCGGGAAACCGGAGCUAAUACCGGAUAAUAUUUCGAACCGCAUGGUUCGAUAGUGAAAGAUGGCUUUGCUAUCACUUAUAGAUGGACCUGCGCCGUAUUAGCUAGUUGGUAAGGUAACGGCUUACCAAGGCAACGAUACGUAGCCGACCUGAGAGGGUGAUCGGCCACACUGGAACUGAGACACGGUCCAGACUCCUACGGGAGGCAGCAGUAGGGAAUCUUCCGCAAUGGGCGAAAGACUGACGGAGCAACGCCGUGUGAGUGAUGAAGGUCUUCGGAUCGUAAAACUCUGUUAUUAGGGAAGAACAAACGUGUAAGUAACUGUGCACGUCUUGACGGUACCUAAUCAGAAAGCCACGGCUAACUACGUG